rnacentral:tRNA from 1 species
ACUUUUAAAGGAUAACAGAGAUCCGUUGGUCUUAGGAACCAAAAACAUUGGUGCAACUCCAAAUAAAAGUAAUAACCAUG